UACGGAGGGUGCGAGCGUUAAUCGGAAUAACUGGGCGUAAAGGGUGCGUAGGUGGUUUAUUAAGUUAGCUGUAAAAAUCCUGAGCUUAACUUAGGGCGGUCAGCUAAUACUGGUAGACUAGAGUAUAGGAGAGGGUAGUGGAAUUUCCGGUGUAGCGGUGAAAUGCGUAGAGAUCGGAAGGAACACCAGUGGCGAAGGCGGCUACCUGGCCGGAUACUGACACUGAAGCACGAAAGCGUGGGGAGCAAACAGG
rnacentral:rRNA from 1 species